AGACCCGAAACCCGGUGAUCUAGCCAUGGGCAGGUUGAAGGUUGGGUAACACUAACUGGAGGACCGAACCGACUAAUGUUGAAAAAUUAGCGGAUGACCUGUGGCUGGGGGUGAAAGGCCAAUCAAACCGGGAGAUAGCUGGUUCUCCCCGAAAGCUAUUUAGGUAGCGCCUCGUGAACUCAUCUCCGGGGGUAGAGCACUGUUUCGGCUAGGGGGCCAUCCCGGCUUACCAACCCGAUGCAAACUGCGAAUACCGGAGAAUGUUAUCACGGGAGACACACGGCGGGUGCUAACGUCCGUCGUGAAGAGGGAAACAACCCAGACCGCCAGCUAAGGUCCCAAAGUCAUGGUUAAGUGGGAAACGAUGUGGGAAGGCCCAGACAGCCAGGAUGUUGGCUUAGAAGCAGCCAUCAUUUAAAGAAAGCGUAAUAGCUCACUGGUCGAGUCGGCCUGCGCGGAAGAUGUAACGGGGCUAAACCAUGCACCGAAGCUGCGGCAGCGACACUUUAGUGUUGUUGGGUAGGGGAGCGUUCUGUAAGCCGUUGAAGGUGUCCUGUGAGGGGUGCUGGAGGUAUCAGAAGUGCGAAUGCUGACAUAAGUAACGAUAAAGCGGGUGAAAAGCCCGCUCGCCGGAAGACCAAGGGUUCCUGUCCAACGUUAAUCGGGGCAGGGUGAGUCGACCCCUAAGGCGAGGCCGAAAGGCGUAGUCGAUGGGAAACGGGUUAAUAUUCCCGUACUUGGUGUUACUGCGAAGGGGGGACGGAGAAGGCUAUGUUGGCCGGGCGACGGUUGUCCCGGUUUAAGCGUGUAGGUGUGUGUUCCAGGUAAAUCCGGUUCACUUUAACACUGAGGCGUGAUGACGAGGCACCACGGUGCU
rnacentral:rRNA from 1 species